AAAUGAGAGAAUUAGGUUUAUUUUUGCUAUUUAAGUGGAAGCAUGAGACGAAAAGAAGCAGAUUGUUUGUUGAGAUCGGAUCGGCAGCCGAUCCGAAACAAUAUUGUCUCUCACGCACACCUCAGGACUAGGAGGUAGAUAAAAAGAAGAAUAGCCAUGCUGUAUUUGUUGGUUAUUUAUUGUAUGCUGUAGAAAUCAAAGUUUAUGAUAUUCCCAAGAGGAAAUGGAUGGACAACAUCCCAAAGUUGAAAGCUCCCACGUGUUACCCACUCGUCUUCUUCAUUGAUCACUGGCUUUAUGUGAUCUCUUUUGAUAUUCCCGAGGGCGGACAGCCACACUUUGAGAUGCUGAAUAUGAGUUAUCUUUCUAAAAGAUGGGUUUCACUACCUCUACCCAAUACCCUUUUGUAUCCUGUAGUUACCUAUAAACUUGCCACUCUGAUUGUUGACGGUGGUCAUUCAAACGAGACCACCCUAUAUCUAAAGGCGCCUGACAGCUGCGUUCUUCUUGCUUUCAGCUUCAAGGAUUAGACUUGGUAUACCUAUACCAAUACCAUUGGAAAACCAUUGACACCUCUCAGGCAUCAUCUUUUGAAAUCAUCUUGGUGGGAUCAUUUUGUAAUCGUAGAAAAUCACUUGUACUCAUUCGGAAGGAACAAGUCAAAAUUUUUGCUAAUCAUUCAUGAUUUGGAGCCUGUCCCCGACAAUAAAGUUGAUGAAGGAAGAAUUAUAUGUGAGGUUGACGUAACAAACACUGUUCACCGAGAUGUUCUUAACGAUAAACUUGCUCUUUACUCUAUUCGUUAUCUAGGAAAGAAGGGUUCAUGCCGAAGGUUCUUUGUGGCUAUCGUCUACUCUUCCAGGAACCACCAUUCUCUCGUGUCUACAUGCACCUUUGAUCUAAGUGUCGAGUUUAAGGUCCAGGAAUAUUCCUGCCAGAACAAACCUCUAAACCCGGGUCCGUAUCUCACGCUUCCACUUCAAUGCGAGGUGUUAUGUGAAGUCAAAGGUGGUUAAAUCGUCCAAUGGGUAGUACCAGUAGUUUUUCUUCUGACUGGUCACACCUUUAGGGAAAACCAACGCAGCUGCAGACGAUUUGGCUAUGGAAGGAAUGAAGCGAGCAUGUUUUAGAGAACUUAACUUUCUGCCUACCCCUCCUUUAUUUUGCUUUGUUUUGCUAGAGGGAUAGUUCUUAUAUCCUGUUAGGAAAACUACUAGUACUAGUAAUAUUUUGGCUCGCUUUAAGAACUUAUUUGCUCUAAGGAGCUGUACUGUUCGUAAUGACGCUCUUUAAUUUGUUAUUAACAUAAAUCCACUACUUUAA